rnacentral:rRNA from 1 species
GAGUUUGAUCCUGGCUCAGGACGAACGCUGGCGGCGCGCCUAACACAUGCAAGUCGAACGAGCGAGAGAGAGCUUGCUUUCUCGAGCGAGUGGCGAACGGGUGAGUAACGCGUGAGGAACCUGCCUCAAAGAGGGGGACAACAGUUGGAAACGACUGCUAAUACCGCAUAAGCCCACAGCUCGGCAUCGAGCAGAGGGAAAAGGAGCAAUCCGCUUUGAGAUGGCCUCGCGUCCGAUUAGCUGGUUGGUGAGGUAAUGGCCCACCAAGGCGACGAUCGGUAGCCGGACUGAGAGGUUGAACGGCCACAUUGGGACUGAGACACGGCCCAGACUCCUACGGGAGGCAGCAGUGGGGAAUAUUGCACAAUGGGGGAAACCCUGAUGCAGCGACGCCGCGUGGAGGAAGAAGGUCUUCGGAUUGUAAACUCCUGUUGUUGAGGAAGAUAAUGACGGUACUCAACAAGGAAGUGACGGCUAACUACGUGCCAGCAGCCGCGGUAAAACGUAGGCCACAAGCGUUGUCCGGAAUUACUGGGUGUAAAGGGAGCGCAGGCGGGAAGACAAGUUGGAAGUGAAAUCUAUGGGCUCAACCCAUAAACUGCUUUCAAAACUGUUUUUCUUGAGUAGUGCAGAGGUAGGCGGAAUUCCCGGUGUAGCGGUGGAAUGCGUAGAUAUCGGGAGGAACACCAGUGGCGAAGGCGGCCUACUGGGCACCAACUGACGCUGAGGCUCGAAAGUGUGGGUAGCAAACAGGAUUAGAUACCCUGGUAGUCCACACCGUAAACGAUGAUUACUGGGUGUUGGAGGAUUGACCCCUUCAGUGCCGCAGUUAACACAAUAAGUAAUCCACCUGGGGAGUACGACCGCAAGGUUGAAACUCAAAGGAAUUGACGGGGGCCCGCACAAGCAGUGGAGUAUGUGGUUUAAUUCGACGCAACGCGAAGAACCUUACCAAGUCUUGACAUCCCUUGACGAUGCUGGAAACAGUAUUUCUCUUCGGAGCAAGGAGACAGGUGGUGCAUGGUUGUCGUCAGCUCGUGUCGUGAGAUGUUGGGUUAAGUCCCGCAACGAGCGCAACCCUUACUGUCAGUUACUACGCAAGAGGACUCUGGCAGGACUGCCGUUGACAAAACGGAGGAAGGUGGGGAUGACGUCAAAUCAUCAUGCCCUUUGUGACUUGGGCUACACACGUACUACAAUGGCGUUAAACAAAGAGAAGCAAGACCGCGAGGUGGAGCAAAACUCAGAAACAACGUCCCAGUUCGGACUGCAGGCUGCAACUCGCCUGCACGAAGUCGGAAUUGCUAGUAAUCGUGGAUCAGCAUGCCACGGUGAAUACGUUCCCGGGCCUUGUACACACCGCCCGUCA